rnacentral:rRNA from 1 species
UACGUAGGGUGCAAGCGUUGUCCGGAAUUAUUGGGCGUAAAGAGCUCGUAGGCGGUUUGUCGCGUCUGCUGUGAAAACUCAGGGCUUAACUCUGAGCUUGCAGUGGGUACGGGCAGACUGGAGUACUGCAGGGGAGACUGGAAUUCCUGGUGUAGCGGUGGAAUGCGCAGAUAUCAGGAGGAACACCGGUGGCGAAGGCGGGUCUCUGGGCAGUAACUGACGCUGAGGAGCGAAAGCGUGGGGAGCGAACAGG